rnacentral:lncRNA from 1 species
CAAGUUAAAACUGAAAGCACUUUGUUUGAAGACACGUGUGAACGAAAACCCAAAACUCUGAAAUUCGAAAAAAGGAAAAGGGAAAACGGAAAACCUUAUCCAGCAUUUCCAAAUUCCAAAUCCAAACAAACUGAUAUACCCUUCUCGCUCCCUCUUUUUAUCCUUUUCUUCCUUUAUAUAGCGCUCCUCUCUCUCACUCUGAAAUUGCAGAUCAUCACAUCAAAUGGGUCUGAGGCUCGUGUACGGUGUGGUGUUCCUUUCUUUCUCAUGCGCCUGCUUCAAGCUUCUGCACCUAUUCCUUCACCCAGUCUUCUACUACACUUCUUCCUGAUAUGUAGGAAUCAUGUAACUUGUUAAUCAAAUGGGUUAGUCUUAUUUUCUUUAUUUUUAAUUUUAUAUAAAAAAAAUUGUUUUACUUUACACAUAUUGGGAUCGAUGUAAUCGAUUGUGAAUUUUCGAUUACAUCUGGGUUGGAUUUGGAUAGAGAGAAAGAGGGAUCAUGUUUUUGUUAUUCCCUGGUUGGCUGUGUUUGAUUUGUUUUCUAAAUAUUAUGUUUUCUGGGUUCUGUAUACUGUGAAAAUCUGUAAUGAAUUGAUGAUUAUGUACUAUCUACUGUAUUGGUAAUGGCUAUUAAAUGAGAAUUAUCUAAUAUUUAUGUAUUAAGUAUGUAUUUAUUUUUAUUUGGUGAAGAUUAUUUUGUUGUAAUUUUUAUUUAAUUGGGUAAAUUAUUUCAGAUUGGAACUUGUAAUAUGAUAUUGGGAUUAAUACUUUUUCAGUAGCAAGAACUUAAUUAUGAUGAUUGAUGAGUUGAACUAAGAAUUAGUUUGGGAUUAAAGUUUAGGGGUGGAUUUGAAAAAUGUCCAAUAACCUAUGGGUUGGUUUGGUUCAAGCCAAUAAUUUUGGAUGAGGGCUUUCAAUAAUAGUGGUAUGGGCAUCCAUUAUGAAUUUGGUUUUGCCAUAUGCUUGUCAAAGGUAGUCAUGCCUGAGCUAAAUUGUACUAUUAUAUGGCCAAAAUUAUUCAUUUCUGACGAAGGUCUUUUUGGUCCUUUUCUUUAACUCAGAUCCUUUGCUCAAAAUAUUUAUUUUCAAUUUUUUAAAUACUAAUUGUUAUAAUUUUCAUUGUUUUCAUGAAUUUGUUAAAAGAAUAAAAAAAAUAAUGCUUAAUAAAAUGUUGACGGAAAAAAAAUGAAAAACAAAAAAUUUAAUAAAACAAACAACACCUUAUUAUUUUCUUUUUAAUUUUUUUUCUCUCAUAGUUUCUACCCAUCCAAACAUAGGGUUAAGCUUGAUACAGCCCCACUCAAUAUUAGAAACUACUCCUAUAUUUCAAAAUAUAAAUUGUUUGAAAAUGAUUGCUUUAUCUUAAAAUAUAAAUCAUUUUGAUUUUUUUUAAAUUUACUUUUAUUUAUAUUAAAUACAACGUAAUGGUGUGAGAUAAAAAAUGUAUUUUUAAUUUUUUUAUAUUUUAAGAGAAUUAAUUAUUUUAUUAAUUUAUGUUAUUUUAUUAAUUUAUAUGUAAAAAUCUUAAACGGUCCGUAUGCUGUAAGAGUAUAAAUCAAUGUGAAGCCUAAUUUAUUAUUUAAAUUUAAAAUUUAAUUAAUAUUUUAAAUUAUAAAUAAGUAGAAAACCAUACAGGUGCACCCAAAUAAGUCUUCCCACGUGACAUUCCUACCCGGAUUUCCCACGUGGCAAGUUAAAACUGAAAGCACUUUGUUUGAAGACACGUGUGAACGAAAACCCAAAACUCUGAAAUUCGAAAAAAGGAAAAGGGAAAACGGAAAACCUUAUCCAGCAUUUCCAAAUUCCAAAUCCAAACAAACUGAUAUACCCUUCUCGCUCCCUCUUUUUAUCCUUUUCUUCCUUUAUAUAGCGCUCCUCUCUCUCACUCUGAAAUUGCAGAUCAUCACAUCAAAUGGGUCUGAGGCUCGUGUACGGUGUGGUGUUCCUUUCUUUCUCAUGCGCCUGCUUCAAGCUUCUGCACCUAUUCCUUCACCCAGUCUUCUACUACACUUCUUCCUGAUAUGUAGGAAUCAUGUAACUUGUUAAUCAAAUGGGUUAGUCUUAUUUUCUUUAUUUUUAAUUUUAUAUAAAAAAAAUUGUUUUACUUUACACAUAUUGGGAUCGAUGUAAUCGAUUGUGAAUUUUCGAUUACAUCUGGGUUGGAUUUGGAUAGAGAGAAAGAGGGAUCAUGUUUUUGUUAUUCCCUGGUUGGCUGUGUUUGAUUUGUUUUCUAAAUAUUAUGUUUUCUGGGUUCUGUAUACUGUGAAAAUCUGUAAUGAAUUGAUGAUUAUGUACUAUCUACUGUAUUGGUAAUGGCUAUUAAAUGAGAAUUAUCUAAUAUUUAUGUAUUAAGUAUGUAUUUAUUUUUAUUUGGUGAAGAUUAUUUUGUUGUAAUUUUUAUUUAAUUGGGUAAAUUAUUUCAGAUUGGAACUUGUAAUAUGAUAUUGGGAUUAAUACUUUUUCAGUAGCAAGAACUUAAUUAUGAUGAUUGAUGAGUUGAACUAAGAAUUAGUUUGGGAUUAAAGUUUAGGGGUGG